GUUUGAUCAUGGCUCAGGACGAACGCUGGCGGCGUGCUUAACACAUGCAAGUCGAACGGUAAGGCCCUUUCGGGGGUACACGAGUGGCGAACGGGUGAGUAACACGUGGGUGACCUGCCUCAAGCUCUGGGAUAAGCCUGGGAAACUGGGUCUAAUACCGGAUAUGACCUCAUGACGCAUGUUGUGGGGUGGAAAGCCUUGUGCGGCUAGGGAUGGGCCCGCGGCCUAUCAGCUUGUUGGAGGGGUGAUGGCCUACCAAGGCGACGACGGGUAGCCGGCCUGAGAGGGCGACCGGCCACACUGGGACUGAGACACGGCCCAGACUCCUACGGGAGGCAGCAGUGGGGAAUCUUGUGCAAUGGGCGAAAGCCUGACACAGCGACGCCGCGUGAGGGAAGAAGGCCUUCGGGUUGUAAACCUCUUUCAGGAGGGACGAAGCCACUCGGGUGAAUAGCCCAGAGGGUGACGGUACCUCCAGAAGAAGCCCCGGCUAACUACGUGCCAGCAGCCGCGA
rnacentral:rRNA from 1 species